CAGCCAUCACCUCUCUUGGGUGGAGACAUACAUCUCUCUCCUUCCUGACUGGGGUAUUUCCAGGCUGUUCAGUUCACUGACUAUUCUGUGAUAUCCCUGGCAAAAGAAGGGACUGCCUAAACUUUUCUCCUCAGUGCUAUUGGCAUCAGUUGGGUACAGAGUGGUCAGAUGGCUUCAAUGAUUACUCAGGAUCUGCUAUCUUAGAACCCAACAACAUUGCACUGUGGAGUAAAUUAAAGCUACAAUCCUACAAACAUUUCUGUCC